UAUUCUUGCUUUCCAGGGAAUGCUGGCAGGUUUGGCUCUGUGCAUCAUACCACAAAAAUCUCACUCCUCCAGAAGAGGGCUAAUACACGAAGGAGCUUUCUACCAGGCUGAUGUAUCACACAUGCUUUAUAUAUCAGCUUGGAUUUCUUCAGUCCAGACAAAAGGAUCAAAGACAUAGGGAGGGGCAUGCGUAUGGGGAAGCUUUAAUUUUUGCAGACGUGGAGAGCAGGGCAGCAUAGCAUGGCUAAAAAAGCUUAGACAUAGCCAAAUGUAAGAAAUUGUAUUUAUGAGCUGUGCUCAGAAAUUGCCUCUGAAGCUUGCAGAGCAGCUGGUGUCACUUUCAGCUGACAUUUGUACAACUGAAACACAUACAGUGCAGCCAGGAGCAGGAAAUACAAGUUACGGACAAAGAUUUGUUGGACACAGGACUAGGAAAUAAAGUGUUGUGUGGUCCAGGUUGCCUUUAUACGGAUUUAUGUCAUAUUAUCUACAUGAAGCUAAGGCAGGUAUUAAUCCCAAGGCUGAAAUAUUGCUGGGGAUGGGAGUAAAUUUAAAUGUAUUCAGCUGAACUAUUUUUCAAAAGGAUACUAUUAUAGGCUCUGACAGAGGUGUCCACCUUUCAACAGGCAGACAUCUGAGAUCCUGUCAUUCUUCUCUAGCUCUGAGUGUGUUCUACAGUCACACCCUCAACUUGGAGAAGUUACCUGUGAAGGAACAGCAAUGCCUACUGCAUAGUGGAAAGCUGAUACAAUAUCAGCAAGGAUUGUGGCAGCCGUGCUUGCAGUAAAAGAGGGAAGGAACUGCGCUGUUGAGUGCUACAACAUCAUUACACAAAUUCAUUUACAACAUCACCCAGGGACAGGGAGUGUGCAUGGAGUAACUUUAUCCCUAACAUUCAAUUUAUUUGGAAACUGGGAGUGGAUGCAAACAUAGCACCUCUUUUGGGUGCUGUCAGGAUAGAAGAAACCAAGCACCCUCUACUAUUCCAAAUCUGACUCAACUGUUGCUUUGCAGAGGUGUCUCACCAGAUCAUGAAAGUCAUAAUACCACUGCCUUUAGAGGCUUACUGAGGUCUCAACUGGGAGGUGGGAAGGGAUUCUUAAAACAGAGGCUCCUGGACCCAUGACAAGACUGAGUGUGAGAGCAGUUCAAGGGAAGUCUUAACCAGCGGGAGGCCAGAACAACAGUUCUGGUACUGUAUCCUGAUCUUGCUUCAGUGGAUUUACAGCUGGUUCCUUUCCUGGAAUGAAAAGAUUAGAAUCGCUGGAGCUGCAUGUGCGUCUUCCAGUGAGGGGAACUAGAUAUGGGACAGCCCGGCUGCAAGAAAUCAAGGUUACAAAACCUGACGAGAGGAAUUUCAGAGCAGUUUGACAAGAUUAGACUGUGUACUUCAUUAUGUGACAUGGAGACUGCUAUCCUGGAUCAAGCUACAGAUCCAGAAUCUGUUCUGACUCUUGAGCAGUGGCAAGUGCCAUCUGUAAAGAAAAAGCACAAAAACCUCCUAAACAACAAUUAUGGAAAGUUGCCCUUGGAAAGUUUCUUCCUGACAUAUAUUGGCAAGAAAUCAUUUUAUUCUGAGAGUUUCCAUGCCCUCCCCAGAAAUCCUUAUUAGUCUUCUUGCAAGGUCAUUAUUGAUUAAGAUGUUUUAAGUACAUAAAACAACACUAGGAUUUGCAGAAAUAUUUGUUAUGUAAAGACUUUUUUACCCCCUUAAUAACUUUUCACAGCCCCUCACAGAAUUUGUUGAGCAAGACUGAGAUUAGAGUCUGUUUUGGACUUUGUCCUAGAAAACAAGCCAAAUAUGAUAAAUAAAAUAAAACAUCUGGAGGUCUAGCCAUCAGAAUAUCAUCAGAUAUCUACUGAUUCUGAGGGAAUGUUAUAUAUAGAAGGUAAUAAUCUGAAGUGGUGGGCUUUUCAUAAAAUACAACUCUGAAAGAAUGUAG